ACUCUAAGCGGUGGAUCACUCGGCUCAUGGGUCGAUGAAGAACGCAGCAAACUGUGCGUCAUCGUGUGAACUGCAGGACACAUGAACAUCGACAUUUUGAACGCAUAUCGCAGUCCAUGCUGUUAUGUACUUUAAUUAAUUUUAAAGUGCUGCUUGGACUACAUAUGGUUGAGGGUUGUAAGACUAUGCAAAAUAAGUUGUUCAUAAAUUUCAUUUCAUGAUUUUUAUAAGCACAUGGUAUAUUAUUGGGUAUAAUAAUUAUUAAUUGUUAUAUUCAUAAUAUUAAAAAUUAUAUGAAAAACAUUAUUCUCACAUUGUUGUAAAUAUUUGAAUGUGAAAACGAAGAGAAAUAUUUUCUUUUUUUUUAAAUCAAAUAAUACUGAGAAAUGUCUAGCAUAAAAAAUGUGAAAAUAUUUUUCAUCUAGAAUUGUCUCUUAUUAAUGAUGCAAAAAAUCGAAAAAUGUUGCUAAUGUUAUUAUUCUUCGUUUGGUUUGUUAAAAAAUAUAACAAAUUUAAAUAUAUAAUGUUUUCUCUAUAUAAAAAGAAUUAAUGCUAAUAAAUGUUUUAUACAACCUCAACUCAUAUGGGACUACCCCCUGAAUUUAAGCAUAUUAAUUAGGGGAGGAAAAGAAACUAACAAGGAUUUUCUUAGUAGCGGCGAGCGAAAAGAAAUCAGUUCAGCACUAAGUCACUUUGUCUAUAUGGCAAAUGUGAGAUGCAGUGUAUGGAGCGUCAAUAUUCUAGUAUGAGAAAUUAACGAUUUAAGUCCUUCUUAAAUGAGGCCAUUUACCCAUAGAGGGUGCCAGGCCCGUAUAACGUUAAUGAUUACUAGAUGAUGUUUCCAAAGAGUCGUGUUGCUUGAUAGUGCAGCACUAAGUGGGUGGUAAACUCCAUCUAAAACUAAAUAUAACCAUGAGACCGAUAGUAAACAAGUACCGUGAGGGAAAGUUGAAAAGAACUCUGAAUAGAGAGUUAAACAGUACGUGAAACUGCUUAGAGGUUAAGCCCGAUGAACCUGAAUAUCCGUUAUGGAAAAUUCAUCAUUAGACUUGUAGUAUUUAAACAAUAUUAUGAUAAUAGUGUGCAUUUUUUCCAUAUAAGGACAUUGUAAUCUAUUAACAUAACUAAAUUUAUCAUAAAAUAUGGCUUAUAGUUUAUUCAAAUUAUUAUGCUUGCAUUUUAACAUAGAAUAAAUGUCAUUAAUUUGAUAAAGUGCUGAUAGAUUUAUAUGACUACAGUGCGUUAAUUUUUCGGAAUUAUAUAAUGGCAUAAUUAUCAUUGAUUUUUGUGUUUAUUAUAUGCACUUGUACGAUUAACAAUGCGAAAGAUUCAGGAUACCUUCGGGACCCGUCUUGAAACACGGACCAAGGAGUCUAACAUAUGUGCAAGUUAUUGGGAUAUAAACCUAAUAGCGUAAUUAACUUGACUAAUAAUGGGAUUAGUUUUUUAACUAUUUAUAGCUAAUUAACACAAUCCCGGGGCGUUCUAUAUAGUUAUGUAUAAUAAUAUUUAUAUUAUUUAUGCCUCUAACUGGAACGUACCUUGAGCAGAUAUGCUGUGACCCGAAAGAUGGUGAACUAUACUUGAUCAGGUUGAAGUCAGGGGAAACCCUGAUGGAAGACCGAAACAGUUCUGACGUGCAAAUCGAUUGUCAGAAUUGAGUAUAGGGGCGAAAGACCAAUCGAACCAUCUAGUAGCUGGUUCCUUCCGAAGUUUCCCUCAGGAUAGCUGGUGCAUUUUAAUGUUAUAUAAAAUAAUCUUAUCUGGUAAAGCGAAUGAUUAGAGGCCUUAGGGUCGAAACGAUCUUAACCUAUUCUCAAACUUUAAAUGGGUAAGAACCUUAACUUUCUUGAUAUGAAGUUUAAGGUUAUGAUAUAAUGUGCCCAGUGGGCCACUUUUGGUAAGCAGAACUGGCGCUGUGGGAUGAACCAAACGUAAUGUUACGGUGCCCAAAUUAACAACUCAUGCAGAUACCAUGAAAGGCGUUGGUUGCUUAAAACAGCAGGACGGUGAUCAUGGAAGUCGAAAUCCGCUAAGGAGUGUGUAACAACUCACCUGCCGAAGCAACUAGCCCUUAAAAUGGAUGGCGCUUAAGUUGUAUACCUAUACAUUACCGCUAAAGUAGAUGAUUUAUAUUACUUGUAAUAUAAAUUUUGAAACUUUAGUGAGUAGGAAGGUACAAUGGUAUGCGUAGAAGUGUUUGGCGUAAGCCUGCAUGGAGCUGCCAUUGGUACAGAUCUUGGUGGUAGUAGCAAAUAAUCGAAUGAGACCUUGGAGGACUGAAGUGGAGAAGGGUUUCGUGUGAACAGUGGUUGAUCACGAGUUAGUCGGUCCUAAGUUCAAGGCGAAAGCCGAAAAUUUUCAAGUAAUAAAAUGACUAUAUAUUACAAAAAUGCCAAUUAAUAUACUUGAAUAAUUUUGAACGAAAGGGAAUACGGUUCCAAUUCCGUAACCUGUUGAGUAUCCGUUUGUUAUUAAAUAUGGGCCUCGUGCUCAUCCUGGCAACAGGAACGACCAUAAAGAAGCCGUCGAGAGAUAUCGGAAGAGUUUUCUUUUCUGUUUUAUAGCCGUACUACCAUGGAAGUCUUUCGCAGAGAGAUAUGGUAGAUGGGCUAGAAGAGCAUGACAUAUACUGUUGUGUCGAUAUUUUCUCCUCGGAAUGACCAGGUGGAGUGCACUUUAGUGAACUCUACUGACUGGGUGUGUGUGUGGGUUAGAGGAACUUUUGGCAGGUUGUUGUUGUCAGUAAUAUUGCAAGUUUCCGAGC
rnacentral:rRNA from 1 species